rnacentral:rRNA from 1 species
AGACGGGACCCGCACAAGCGGUGGAUGAUGUGGAUUAAUCGAUGCAACGACGAAAACCUUACCUACCCUUGACAUGUCUGGAACCUUGCUGAGAGGCGAGGUGCUUCGGAGCCAGAACACAGGUGCUGCAUGGCUGUCGUCAGCUCGUGUCGUGAGAUGUUGGGUUAAGUCCCGCAACGAGCGCAACCCUUGUCAUUAGUUGCCAUCAUUUAGUUGGGCACUCUAAUGAGACUGCCGGUGACAAACCGGAGGAAAGGUGGGGAUGACGUCAAGUCCUCAUGGCCCUUAUGGGUAGGGCUUCACACGUCAUACAAUGGUCGGUACAGAGGGUUGCCAAGCCGCGAGGUGGAGCCAAUCCCUUAAAGCCGAUCGUAGUCCGGAUCGUAGUCUGCAACUCGACUGCGUGAAGUCGGAAUCGCUAGUAAUCGUGGAUCAGCAUGUCACGGUGAGUACGUUCCCGGGUCUU